GGAGUUCAGAUGAUGAUGAAUUGCAUAGUUCAAAUGAAUGUUUGUGAUUAGAAAAGUUUUUAUCUUUCCGAUGAACUCA
rnacentral:snoRNA from 1 species